AUGCUUCGAACUUCAGUGAGUUGAAUAAUCUCAAACUAUAAAUAUGGACUGCAAAAAUGUAUCCUGGUGUUCUAUACUAACUUUUAUACUUUUAAAAGCGAGGAGGAUUCAAAAGCGGCACCGUUAUAAGCAUUGGCAACAUUCCCUCGAGGAAUCGUAAUAAUCGCCACAUUUUAGAAAAAUAUCCCUGCUGGCAGCUGUAAUGCGGAAAAAUGAAAAGUCGACAAGGUCGCAAGGAACCUAUAAGUAGAUGGUGCUCUGAGCGCGCAUCAACUGAAAUAAUUAAUAUGUUUGAUCAUGGUACUAAUGGUGUGGACACGCCGGUGCCGCAAAAGUGCGGAUUCAUUGCUUGCUCCCACGGAAUCUGCUAUGGCCAUUAUUUUUAUUGAUAAAGUUGAGACGGGUUGUUUUGAAUAAACUUGAAUAAGGCUGGCGUGAAAACAUAAGAAUGAUUUUUUAAACCGGACAAAAUUAUUUCGUGCACAGCGUAAUUUAGCUCUUGGUUUACUAAAUUGUUUAGUUUUUAGGUUUUAACCUUACGUAUGUAUUGUAUUUUUAUUAAUAUUUUUUUAUUUUAGUGACAUAAGAUCCUACUCUUUAUACACACCAUAUAUUUUAAAUAUAGGUUGUAAAUAGAAACAAAAACAAAACCAAAUUUUUUUGUGCAUCUUUUUAUAUUUUGUUUGAUCUGUGUAUAUGUAUAUAUGAAUUAUAUGCCGUCACUUGAACAAGAUCGAUGAAGAUUACAUUUUCCAAAAAUGACUCAAAACUAUAUUCGACAGAAGCCUCAGUUAUUGACAAAAAAUGUUUUCGAUGAUUAAUAUUUGUUUUUGUUCGCUAAUACCGAAAUAUAAACGACUUCCCUCGUAUCAGCUAGAUAGGCAUUUAAAAUUAAUUAGUUUUAAUAACUUAAAACUUUAAACGAACUUUUCUCGAAACUGUGUUUUCAAAGUCGGCUGUCAAGAUUUCUCUCAAACGGCUCAACCGAUCUUAAUGAAAUUUUACACUGGCCUUCGAGUUAUAACUUACAAAGCCUUGAACGAAGGAUUUUUUUGUUCAAUUACAACUAUUUAAAAACACAAAAACGUGAAGAAAUUUUUACCAAGACUUCCGUAUUUUGUUUUUUUGUAAAAACGUCUCUUAAAAUACAAUUUUCGGUUUUUCGUCCGAUACCUAGUGUAUGAUCUAAGUAAAAGCACGUUGUUUUAUUUUUUUUAUUUUUGAUGAUCCUGAAGCAGUUCUGCUGUCAACGCGGAACCACAUUUUUUCCGACGCACACUUUUUUCCGAUGCUGGAAAUGACGUCAUAAUGGGCGGGUUUUGUAUAUUUCAGAAAACAUUUGUAAAAUAGGUAUCUUUGGAAUAAUAAAAAGUUCGAUUAAAUAUUUAA